rnacentral:rRNA from 1 species
GACGAACGCUGGCGGCGUGCCUAACACAUGCAAGUCGUACGAGGACAGUCCUUCGGGACUGAGCCGAGUGGCGGACGGGUGAGUAACACGUGACCAAUCUGCCUUCGAGAGGGGGAUAACCUGGGGAAACCCGGGCUAAUACCGCAUGAAGUGCCGUGCUCGCAUGGGCGUGACACCAAAGGGAGGCCUCUACUUGUAAGCUUUCGCUCGAAGAGGAGGUCGCGACGUAUCAGCUAGUUGGUAGGGUAACGGCCUACCAAGGCUACGACGCGUAGCGGGUCUGAGAGGACGACCCGUCACAUUGGGACUGAGAUACGGCCCAGACUCCUACGGGAGGCAGCAGUGGGGAAUAUUGCGCAAUGGUCGAAAGACUGACGCAGCGACGCUGCGUGUGGGAGGAAGCCCUUCGGGGUGUAAACCACUGUCGGGAGGGACGAACCGCGGACGGGCAAAAUAGCCCGGGACGCUGACGGUACCUUCAAAAGGAAGCACCGGCUAACCCUGUGCCAGCAGCCGCGGUAAUACAGGGGGUGCAAGCGUUGUUCGGAUUACUGGGCGUAAAGCGCGGGCGAGGUGGUUUCUUAAGUCCUUUGUGAAAUCCCGGAGCUCAACUCCGGAUGUGCAGAGGAUACUGAGAACUCGAGACUGUAGAGGCGAGCGGAAUUCCUGGUGUAGC